ensembl:lncRNA
AUGACUCACCCAGACAUAAACAAACGCGUGUCUUUCUUCACAGACCAGAAGCCGCUGUCAUAUGCUGCGCUGAUCGGAAUAUCGAUGGCUGUGGCUGUGAAAUUAUCAUUAGUAAUCAUGGUGGCUUAUGCAGCCAUUGUCCGAAAAAGGAAAACAACUCUCAACCAGAUAGGCCUAGUCCCCAGUGAUACAAGCGGAGCCGAGACAACUGGGGCAUCUGGAGCUAAAAGAGAGGAGGAUCUGGUGUACGCUGGCAUUGGAUUCAACCAACCAACCAGUAAUGUCGAAAACACACUUUCAUCAAAUGAGAAACAUGCUGAGGAGGAUGACGUCACGUAUUCCCAGGUUACAGUGCCACGAAAAAAGAAGAAUAAAGAGCGGGAUACAACUGUUUGACAUUAAUAUCAUAUAUAUAUAUAAAUAUAUUGAGAUAUAAUUUAUUUUCUAUGCAUUAAAUAAAAAAUAUAAAUAGAAUUUAAAAAAUGAUAUAUAUAUAUAUAUUCUCAUCGGAUAAAUAUGGCGAAAACCGAUACAUUUAAUAUGCUAAGAUUAAGUAAGAAAUAUAUAUGUAAAUAUAUAUGUAUCAUUUCAUCCUUGCAUUUUGUGCCACACUUUUGAAGGCUUUUGGGGAUGUUUAGUGUGUUCAAAUACUUUGUACUUCCCUUUGCUUUGUGUUAUUGUAUGUUUCUCAAGAACCACUUUCUGAUUUGGACCAUUUCACAUGUUUGAGCUAUUUUGGGUUUCCUUUCUUGUUAAUGUGGCCUGUGGGCUGCAUACACUUUUUAGACCAUGGUUGCUUAAACAAUUUAACUUCUAACUAUUGGACAACAUUAAUAACUCACUAUAUUUCCUAUUUUUUAAAUUAUUAGCUUAUUAAGUUUAUCAACUAUUUAUGUAAAAAAAAUAAACAUUUUUCAUUCAAAAGAACGUUGUAUGACCUGUCACUCAUGUGUUCGGUGCACAUGCCAACUGACCACGCACUGUGUAGCAUGUUGGGGUGUAGAAGAACUUGGACUGUCUCUCCCUGAAAUAUCACUGGCAUGUCGAGUAGAGCUGUGUUGAAAAAAUCGAUUUUCCGAUUUUUAAUCGAUUCGCAUAUUAAUGACGAUUAUCGAUCCAAAGAUCGAUUUUUUUAAUAUUUUUUUUUUUUUCGAAUUUUAUAAGUUAAAAAUGUAUAUUUUAUAUAUUCAUGGAAAAUAUUCAUGGGAUUCCCCUGAACACUUAGGGUGCUGCAUAUUCUUGAAAACAAAUCUUGAGUGUGGUUUUAGAACAGAUUUGAACAUGCUCAUAUAGACGCCAUUCAGUGCUUUUACAGUUUAAAAUGUUCUGUUCUUAUGUUCGCACUUUAAAGAAAAAUGCUCAACGUUUACAUUUUAUACUUCCAGUUUCAGUACUUCUCAGUUUAUUAAGUGUGAGCAGUUUUAAAAUAAAAAUACUUUUGGUAGCAACCGCUUUUGGGUGAAUUCUUAAUUAUUUUCAAGCAUAAUAAUAAUGCACUGGUUAGUUUCCCAGUAGGAAUCCACUGUUGCAGAUAUAGUCACCUCAAUGAUGUCCUCCAUUUAUUGUCCUGAAUUAUCUUUCUUGAAGGUAGAUUGACCCUUAACCUUUUCAUCAGUCUUCCAGCCAUCAGUUACUACCAAUACUUGUAAGAUUUGCUGUUUAACAUUGAUAUAAUACUAGUUUUAAUAUUUUGCUUCUCUACACAGUCAUGAAGUGAAGGAAACGGUUCAAAUACAUUUCUCAUUUUUAAUAACAUUAACCCCCGGAUCGAAUCGAAAUCGGAUCGAAUCGGAAAUCAAAUCAAAAUCGGAUCGAAUCGAAUGGAAUCUGAGAAAAUCUGAAAAAAUCGAUUCUGAAACUUAAAAAUCGGAAUCAAAUCAAUUCUUGAAAUUUGAAUCGAAACCCAGCUCUAAUGUCGAGGGUAUUUUGCAUGAUGACGGCUUUUGGAUGGCCAGUUUGCUUCUUGUUGAUCACCUCCUGCACUACCAAAGGUUGAAGGAGGAGGUGUUUGGAGAGGUGGGUGUUCGUGCCUCUGGACAUGAGUCGCUGAG